rnacentral:rRNA from 1 species
AGCGAACGCUGGCGGCAGGCUUAACACAUGCAAGUCGAACGGGCACUUCGGUGCUAGUGGCAGACGGGUGAGUAACACGUGGGAACGUACUUUCGGUUCGGAAUAAUCCAGGGAAACUUGGACUAAUACCGGAUACGCCCUUCGGGGGAAAGAUUCAUCGCCGAUAGAUCGGCCCGCGUCUGAUUAGCUAGUUGGUGAGGUAAUGGCUCACCAAGGCGACGAUCAGUAGCUGGUCUGAGAGGAUGAUCAGCCACAUUGGGACUGAGACACGGCCCAAACUCCUACGGGAGGCAGCAGUGGGGAAUAUUGGACAAUGGGCGCAAGACUGAUCCAGCCAUGCCGCGUGAGUGAUGAAGGCCUUAGGGUUGUAAAGCUCUUUUGUCCGGGAAGAUAAUGACUGUACCGGAAGAAUAAGCCCCGGCUAACUUCGUG